CCCAGGGUGUGUGCAUACGAACUCUUGGUCGUAAAAAAUAAAGAUCGUCUUGAGUGUAAAAAAAAUAUCGGACGUGAAGUGGAGGGGGCGGAGGAGGCGCCAGAUGGUAGCCCUGACAGGCGGUUGGCCUCCUCCAAAGUUAGAUAAGUGGGAGGAAAAGAUGAUUCAGCUGAUCGUUGAUUCAGCCAUAAGGGUGUUUGCUGUGGUGGACACCUUCGCUCUUAAUACAACAAGUCAAUCGUCUAUGGUGCUGCAGCACACUGCCAAGACGGCUAAAUGUACAUCGCCUGCAGUAGAGUCAGGUUUAUCCACCUCCAACAUAAGUGUCCAUUGCACUGCCCCUGGGUACUGCCAUGGUUCCAAAAAGGUGCAGCUAACAUUGAAAGUCUACUUGUCAAACAGAUUGAGCUCCUCAAUGGAAUUCUACAACAGAAAUUUACAAAUGAUGAUAAACUUCUGCACUUUAAAGACAUAAAUAAAUUACAUAAAACAUUAUUAGAACCCCACCACUACUUGGUGUGGGCUAUAUAGGAAUCACCUUGUCCACUCUGUAUCCAUUACUACAUAUGUUUUCGAGUCUUGACCGGAGCAUAACUUGAAAGUGUUUAAGGUAUUUAUUUCAAACUUUAUGUGCAGAUAGAUCUCAUGGAAGAAGAAUUACAGUACAAAAAAAACCCAUAACAGAUAUAAAAACCAUAACUGUGGCUGCAGUGUUAAAGUUAUUGCCCUGUAACUCAGGUAUUGACUUCAAACUUUAUAUUCAGAUAUAUCUCAUUGAAGGGUAUUGCAUUGCACAGAAACUAUAACUGGUUGGUGAGAUUUUUUAGUUAUUGCCCUUUUCUAAUUUUCCUAUUUUUUUUGGUCCGGAAAAUAACUUAAUCAGUAUUUAAGGUAUAGACUUCAAACUUCAUACAAAGAUAACUCUCUUUAAGGAGAUAUGCAUUGCGCAAUAACCAUAACUCUGGGUGCAGUAAUUGUUGAGUGAUUGCCCGUAAUUAAUUAACUAACUUGUAAUAAAAACGCCAUUGCUGACGCCACAUCAUAAUGCCAAGAUGCAAAACUUUACUUCAACUAAUGUUACACGACUUAUGUAGAAUUUCAAACAUGGGCAAUUUUUUAAAUCAUUUUUGAUUGUGUAAGAAAAAGUGUUAAUGGAAUUAUUCAACACAUAAAUCAAUACUUAUUUUGAAAUGUAUACAUAUACUUGUUACAGAUUGCAUUACAAAAAUGCAGUUACAUGUCUUGUAUAAUGUACAUGUCUAGAUUUCUAUUACAAUGAAAGUAGAUGUAACAGCAACAUGUGUUAACUGUUUUAUCUAGAUAUAUGUGUACAUAUGCGUGUAAUUAUCGUCAAGUGAAAAAUAUAAGAAAAACCUUUGUGAUAGCUUAGCAAUUCUAUUGUUCCGUUUUACAUUAUGUUCGAUGUGUUUUGCUUCCUGUUUGUAGCUUCACUGUUUUAAUAAUAAGUAUUGUUCAGUUCAAUCUUUGUCAAUUCAUAUCUCUUUAUUUCAAGUCAUGUCAUUAUCAGAAAUUAUAAAUAUUUCUUAAGUAUUGCUAUGUUCAAUCUGUAUUAAUUCAUAUCUCUUUAUUUCAAGUCAUGUCAUCAUCAGAAAUUAUAAAUAUUUCUUAAAUGACAACUCAAAUUAAAUGCGACUCAAAAACUUUUACGAAUCAACACAUAACAUAAUCAUUAGUAGUACUGUUAUAAGAAUAAAUUCUUAGAAUUCGGUGAAUCUUUCAAUAUUUAAAAUCUCACAUGACAUAUAAAUUUUACUGAUACUUUUGAAUAUUAACAAAUUUUAUUCACUGUUCAAUUUUCUUAAUGUUUAUAAUUUGGUGAGCUUUUUUAUGUUCAAGUUACCUGAUAACAUAUACAAGACAUGAUUAUGAUAGAAAAAAGGUAUCAAUGAUUUUUGUUCAACAAAGCUAAAACUGGUACAUAUGUUGAUGAAUAGUACUCUACAAUAUAGUUCUUAAACUGAAACUGUUACAUUUCAAGAACUUGAAUUGUUCGUGCACACUUAAAGAGUAGUAAAAGUACAGUUCUUGAACAGUUCAAGAACAAUUCAUGCACAUAAAAACAUGCAUAUAAACUCUUCAGAAACUGACACUACCAGUAGUCUCAAAGAAAGAAAGCUAAUCAAAAUAUCUAUAUCGAUGUACAUGUAUUACAUCUGUUUUGAAUGUUAAGUUGAAAUGUUCACGACGUAGAUAUUCUGAUUGGCUUUCUUGAAUCUUCCUUUUUUCCAUUUUUAUUAAAUUGUCAAUUUUUUUCUUAAAAGUUUCUCGCGUGAGACAUGGGCACUUCACGAGAACAGCACCCUCUAAUAUGACCAUUUUUUCCAUCCAAAGCAGGUUUAAUUACUAUUCCUGAUUUAAUAGUUUUUUCCCAGUGCGCGAACAAUUUACCAGUUCUUUUUUUUCGAAGAUGGUCAAGCACAUUCGUUUCACACACUCUUGCACAUAAAGAAAGAAAGCAAUAAUCAAAAUAUCUAUAUCGAUGUACAUGUAUUACA